AUUGAACGCUGGCGGCAGGCCUAACACAUGCAAGUCGAACGGUAGCACAGAGAGCUUGCUCUCGGGUGACGAGUGGCGGACGGGUGAGUAAUGUCUAGGAAACUGCCUGAUGGGAGGGGGAUAACUACUGGAAACGGUAGCUAAUACCGCAUAACGUCGCAAGACCAAAGAGGGGGACCUUCGGGCCUCUUGCCAUCAGAUGUACCCAGAUGGGAUUAGCUAGG
rnacentral:rRNA from 1 species